ACGAGUUUGAUCAUGGCUCAGAUUGAACGCUGGCGGCAUGCUUUACACAUGCAAGUCGAACGGUAACAGGCCUUCGGGUGCUGACGAGUGGCGAACGGGUGAGUAAUGCAUCGGAACGUGCCCAAUCGUGGGGAUAACGUAGCGAAAGUUACGCUAAUACCGCAUAAGCCCUGAGGGGGAAAGCAGGGGAUCGCAAGACCUUGCGCGAAUGGAACGGCCGAUGUCAGAUUAGCUAGUUGGUGGGGUAAAGGCCUACCAAGGCGACGAUCUGUAGCGGGUCUGAGAGGAUGAUCCGCCACACUGGGACUGAGACACGGCCCAGACUCCUACGGGAGGCAGCAGUGGGGAAUUUUGGACAAUGGGCGCAAGCCUGAUCCAGCCAUGCCGCGUGCGGGACGAAGGCCUUCGGGUUGUAAACCGCUUUCAGCCGGAAAGAAAUCGCCAAGGCUAAUAUCCUUGGUGGAUGACGGUACCGGAAGAAGAAGCACCGGCUAACUACGUG
rnacentral:rRNA from 1 species